rnacentral:rRNA from 1 species
AAGGGCCGUUGAAGACGACGACGUAGAUAGGCUGGGUGUGUAAGCGUAGCGAUACGUUGAGCUAACCAGUACUAAUGACCCGAGAGGCUUAACCUUACAACACCGAAGGUGUUU